GUCGAACGGGAAUUACUUUAUUGAAACUUCGGUCGAUUUAAUUUAAUUCUAGUGGCGGACGGGUGAGUAACGCGUGGGUAACCUGCCUUAUACAGGGGGAUAACAGUCAGAAAUGGCUGCUAAUACCGCAUAAGCGCACAGAGCUGCAUGGCUCAGUGUGAAAAACUCCGGUGGUAUAAGAUGGACCCGCGUUGGAUUAGCUGGUUGGUGGGGUAACGGCCCACCAAGGCGACGAUCCAUAGCCGGCCUGAGAGGGUGAACGGCCACAUUGGGACUGAGACACGGCCCAGACUCCUACGGGAGGCAGCAGUGGGGAAUAUUGCACAAUGGGGGAAACCCUGAUGCAGCGACGCCGCGUGAAGGAAGAAGUAUCUCGGUAUGUAAACUUCUAUCAGCAGGGAAGAUAGUGACGGUACCUGACUAAGAAGCCCCGGCUAACUACGUGCCAGCAGCCGUGGUAAUACGUAGGGGGCAAGCGUUAUCCGGAUUUACUGGGUGUAAAGGGAGCGUAGACGGUGUGGCAAGUCUGAUGUGAAAGGCAUGGGCUCAACCUGUGGACUGCAUUGGAAACUGUCAUACUUGAGUGCCGGAGGGGUAAGCGGAAUUCCUAGUGUAGCGGUGAAAUGCGUAGAUAUUAGGAGGAACACCAGUGGCGAAGGCGGCUUACUGGACGG
rnacentral:rRNA from 1 species